UACGUAGGGCGCAAGCGUUGUCCGGAAUUAUUGGGCGUAAAGAGCUCGUAGGCGGUCUGUCGCGUCGGCUGUGAAAACCCGAGGCUCAACCUCGGGCCUGCAGUCGAUACGGGCAGACUAGAGUGCUGUAGGGGAGACUGGAAUUCCUGGUGUAGCGGUGAAAUGCGCAGAUAUCAGGAGGAACACCGAUGGCGAAGGCAGCUCGCUGGGACGGUACUGACGCUGAGGCGCGAAAGCGUGGGGAGCAAACAGG
rnacentral:rRNA from 1 species